AUGAGAACCUUACUUCAUUCUGAGAGAGCUGCUUCCAUUUUCAGAAAGUUCUACAGAGAAUUACAGUUAUUCAGUGCUGUACUGCUGUGGGGCAAGAAGAGUCUCUCUUUGCCUCUCUCAGUGCAGUUUUUCUUGAUCUGUUUAGUUCCUAGAACUCCAAAUUCUGUAUGUUCCAACAGAGGUAAGCCACUUCGAGGACAUGUGUCAGUCUCCAAGUGCACCAACCCCCAAAGAUGGAUUUGUCUUCAAGAAACUUUCUUGCAAACCUGGGUUCCAGCACAUGCAGAGGAGAUUCUGGUUUCCCUCUCUGAGCUCCUGCUUCAUGGUGCAACAUAUUGGCUCUCCUGCAUGUUUGUGAGAUAG
rnacentral:lncRNA from 12 species